rnacentral:rRNA from 1 species
CCUACGGGAGGCUGCAGCAGGGAAUCUUCCACAAUGGGCGAAAGCCUGAUGGAGCAACGCCGCGUGGGUGAAGAAGGUCUUCGGAUCGUAAAACCCUGUUGUUAGAGAAGAAAGUGCGUGAGAGUAACUGUUCACGUUUCGACGGUAUCUAACCAGAAAGCCACGGCUAACUACGUGCCAGCAGCCGCGGUAAUACGUAGGUGGCAAGCGUUAUCCGGAUUUAUUGGGCGUAAAGGGAACGCAGGCGGUCUUUUAAGUCUGAUGUGAAAGCCUUCGGCUUAACCGGAGUAGUGCAUUGGAAACUGGGAGACUGGAGUGCAGAAGAGGAGAGUGGAACUCCAUGUGUAGCGGUGAAAUGCGUAGAUAUAUGGAAGAACACCAGUGGCGAAAGCGGCUCUCUGGUCUGUAACUGACGCUGAGGUUCGAAAGCGGGGGUAGCAAACAGGAUUAGAUACCCCUGUAGUC